rnacentral:rRNA from 1 species
UACGAAGGGGGCUAGCGUUGCUCGGAAUCACUGGGCGUAAAGCGCACGUAGGCGGAUUGUUAAGUCAGAGGUGAAAGCCUGGAGCUCAACUCCAGAACUGCCUUUGAUACUGGCAAUCUCGAGUCCGGAAGAGGUAAGUGGAACUGCGAGUGUAGAGGUGAAAUUCGUAGAUAUUCGCAAGAACACCAGUGGCGAAGGCGGCUUACUGGUCCGGUACUGACGCUGAGACGCGAAAGCGUGGGGAGCGAACAGG